CCGAUCCCAUCCCGAACUCGGACGUGAAAAACCCCAGCGCCCAUGAUACUGUGCCUCAAGGCACGGGAAAGUCGGUCGCCGCCAGAU
rnacentral:rRNA from 1 species